AGCUCCAAACAAAUUUGCAGAGAAAGGGAGGAGAAGAGAGAUUCGCUUAUACGACUCUCUCAUUUCUCUCUCUCUCUUCUCCUUGCGUUACUUUUCUUUCUCUCUCUCUUCCUUGUUUGCUUCUCUUUAGCACAGAAGAAGAGAAGAGAAUCUGAGGGGGAAGGGAAGAGAAGAGGAUUGAAGCUUACUGCAUCUGCAUAAUCCGUCCAAGCCGCAACAAAUAAAUUGUGUUUUCGUCUUUGCUUGGGCGUAUUUUAUAUUGUUGUCUCUGUUGCUUUUGUUUGGUGGAGAUGAUGGUUUUGAACAGUUUUGAUCUAUGGCAAAAGGACGCUUUCUUUUCUGCGGCCGAGGAGGUUCAGGAAUCUGCGGAUGUUAUGGAAUCAGCGUACAGGUUGUGGUUGAGAAAGAGGAGAGAAGGGAAAACUCCAGAGCAUUUGGAUGAACUCUCUCGGGAGCUGCAAACUGCGUUAGGGACUGCAAAAUGGCAGUUGGAAGAGUUUGAGAGGGCGGUCAGGUUGAGCCAUGGACGUCAUUAUGACAAUAUCAAAUCGUCUAGGCAUAGACAAUUUGUUGCUGCCAUUGAGAGCCAAAUUUCUCAUGUUGAAGAAGCUUUAAUGGAAGCUUUUAGUGGGAAUGGAAAGCUGCCGCUACAAUGGGUAAAUCUGGAUGAAAAUGAACGGGAUGAUUUAGCCAUGUUUCUCUCUGGAACUUCCCAAACCUCAGAAACUUCUACAAGAGGUUCUCUUAUGGAGAAUUACCAUAGGAGAAAAGAUUUAGACCUUAAUACUAAUUUGAGCAGAGAUAUUACUGAUGAAAUGGAAGGUUCCAAUGUUACCACUAGAAAGGACGCUGACUGUAUCAUAGAUAUAGAAGAAAAGGAAACGUUUGGCACAAGAGAUGACAUAAUCUGUCAGUUUGAUAAAGCAACUGGCUCAAGGAGAACAUGGAGUACGCCAAAUUUCGGCGCCUUAAAGAUUGUUAUUCCUGAUGAAGACAACCAACGUAGCCGGUUAAUGCCCUCUGUUGACGCCACUCCCAAAGAGAAAGGUUCCAAAUCCAUCUUCUGGCAAAGGUCUAAAGACCAUGCACUGGCCAAUGGAGCAGUUAAUGUGUUUAGUCAGAUCUUCUGUCGGGUUAGGUGGCUACAAAGACACAUACCAAAUUCAUUACCCUUGCAGCUUAGUCGUUCUAUCCAACUUAUGCUUGCUUUGAUGCUCAGCAUUUUCUUAAUCAUGCAUUUUGUACUUUAUACAAGUUGAAAGGGAGUUCUCUCCUUGUGUGAAUUGAGAUAAACAUACGAAGAAACCCAUUUUGGAUGUAUAAAACGUAUUUCUGCUUCUAAAAAAGAGGUAUAGUAGCGAAGUUUCAUAAGUUUUCCUCAUGAAGGGACGACCUUGGUUGAUUUCAAAGCUUAGCAGUCAGCUGAAGUACCUCUCCGACGCACAAAAAGGAGUGAAUCUAAUGAUGGUAAUAGGAUGCCCUCCAGUGUUCAUAUUUUUGUACAAUUCAAGAUGUAAAUGUAUGCAUUCCAGUACAUGUAUUACUAAGUUUUUUUUCCCUGAGAUGUUAAUUUCUUGAUAUACACUGUUAUGAUUAUUACAUUUGAUGUAUGAAGAAGCAAUCCUUACCUCA